rnacentral:rRNA from 1 species
CAACCUACCUAUCAGAGGGGAAUAACCCGGCGAAAGUCGGACUAAUACCGCAUAAAACAGGGGCACCGCAUGGUGAUAUUUGUUAAAGAAAUUCGCUGAUAGAUGGGCAUGCGUUCCAUUAGGUAGUUGGUGAGGUAACGGCUCACCAAGCCGACGAUGGAUAGGGGAACUGAGAGGUUGGUCCCCCACACUGGAACUGAGACACGGACCAGACUCCUACGGGAGGCAGCAGUGAGGAAUAUUGGUCAAUGGGCGGGAGCCUGAACCAGCCAAGUCGCGUGAAGGAAGAAGGAUCUAUGGUUCGUAAACUUCUUUUGCAGGGGAAUAAAGUGCAGGACGUGUCCUGUUUUGUAUGUACCCUGAGAAUAAGGAUCGGCUAACUCCGUGCCAGCAGCCGCGGUAAUACGGAGGAUCCGAGCGUUAUCCGGAUUUAUUGGGUUUAAAGGGUGCGUAGGUGGUUUGAUAAGUCAGCGGUGAAAGUUUGCAGCUUAACUGUAAAAAUGCCGUUGAAACUGUCGGACUUGAGUGUAAAUGAGGUAGGCGGAAUGCGUGGUGUAGCGGUGAAAUGCAUAGAUAUCACGAAGAACUCCGAUUG